CGGACGGGUGAGUAAUGUCUGGGAAACUGCCUGAUGGAGGGGGAUAACUACUGGAAACGGUAGCUAUACCGCAUAACGUCGCAAGACCAAAGAGGGGGACCUUCGGGCCUCUUGCCAUCGGAUGUGCCCAGAUGGGAUUAGCUAGUAGGUGGGGUAACGGCUCACCUAGGCGACGAUCCCUAGCUGGUCUGAGAGGAUGACCAGCCACACUGGAACUGAGACACGGUCCAG
rnacentral:rRNA from 1 species